rnacentral:lncRNA from 1 species
UGGCCUAGUGGUUGGUUUGAGACAUUGGAGUAUUCUCCUCUGAGGGUCUCAUGUUCGAUUUCCUCUGACGCUAAGGGCUAAGUCCAUUCAGAACUGUGUUCUAGCUUUAAAUUGGGACCUCCCAAUUGGGCGGUGGAAUUGGACCUCUUGAACUAGUUGGCUCAUGGGAUAUAUACAAAAUAAAUAAAUAAAUAAACUAUGUUUUUCCCAUGAAAUUAACGAAAAAUGAAAAUGUAAGUGAUCUUGACCCACACGAUAUUACAUUGUAUAUAUGUAUGUAGUCACAAAGCUUAAUUCUUAUAGAAACGAACGUCUAUGUAGAAACAUAUAUAAUCUGUCAUAUUAAGAACAUCAUCAUCACCAAUGAAACCCCCAACCACAUGAUGAAUCCAAGACCAGCAGCACCACCUUUAUUACCGGACGAAUUUGGUGACGGUGAAGGCGAAGGUGGCAUAGGCAUUGUAAUUAGAGGUGGGAGAACUAGGUCAUGCUUGUUUUGGACAACGACAGCCAGCUUUAAUCCCAUCUUGCAAUGACGCUUUGUUCCACUUAUGAAAUGAUAUACUCCUAUUUUAUCAAGCACAACCUUAGUGUUGCCGUCGUGGUGCUCCACAUGUUCUCCAUUUGUAUGACACAUUAUAUAAUCAUGCUCAUUCACUUCGUGCACUGAUUCUGUUUCGUUAUCGUACUCAAACACUGCAUGUAUACAUGCAUAAAUACGAGAAACAAAUUCAUCAUUUUUUAUAUGUAGUUAAGAAGUAAUUAAUUAAGAGGAAUGCUAUAUGGCUUACGGAUGGUAUCACCGACUGUGAAUUCGUGAGCAGAGGCCCAGCGGGCGAAUGCACGUCGUGAUGGAAGAGGAACCUUCCAGGAAUUGUGACUGUCUCCAAUCAGAUAAUCUGUGGAUUCAGAGUGGGAAAUUAGCAGCCACAUUGAGAAAAUGAUCAUCAACAAUAUUGGAGAAGAAGAAGCCAUAUUCAUGGCUAUGUUUUGUUUGUCUUAUUAGUGGUGAAAGACUGAUUAGAAUUUAGUAGCUUUUUAUAGGAUUGAAACACAACUUUCAAUUCAAUAUUUUUAAGAAAACAAUUAGGGAAUGUGAAAUUAUUAUUAUUAAUUAGGUG